GGUAGCGUUAAAGGGGGUGAAAAGCCCCCUCGCCGAAAGCGCAAGGUUUCCUACGCAACGUUCAUCGGCGUAGGGUGAGUCGGCCCCUAAGGCGAGGCAGAGAUGCGUAGCUGAUGGGAAACAGGUUAAUAUUCCUGUACCGAUCUAUAGUGCGAUGUGGGGACGGAGAAGGUUAGCUCAGCCAACUGUUGGAUAUGUUGGUUCAAGCAUGUAGGCGUGCUCUUUAGGCAAAUCCGGAGAGCUUAGCUGAGGUGUGAUAACGAGUCUGCUUGCAGACGAAGUGAGUGAUACCCUGCUUCCAGGAAAAGCCACUAAGCUUCAGCUAUAGAUUGACCGUACCGCAAACCGACACUGGUGCGCGAGAUGAGUAUUCUAAGGCGCUUGAGAGAACUCUGGAGAAGGAACUCGGCAAAUUGACACCGUAACUUCGGAAGAAGGUGUGCCUUUAGUAGGUGAACCAUUUACUUGGGGAGCCCAAUGAGGUCGCAGAGAAUCGGUGGCUGCAACUGUUUAAUAAAAACACAGCACUCUGCAAAGACGAAAGUCGACGUAUAGGGUGUGACGCCUGCCCGGUGCUGGAAGAUUAAUUGAUGGGGUGCAAGCUCUUGAUCGAAGUCCCAGUAAACGGCGGCCGUAACCAUAACGGUCCUAAGGUAGCGAAAUUCCUUGUCGGGUAAGUUCCGACCUGCACGAAUGGCGUAAUGAUGGCCACACUGUCUCCUCCAGAGACUCAGCGAAGUUGAAAUGUUUGUGAUGAUGCAAUCUCCCCGCGGAAAGACGGAAAGACCCCAUGAACCUUUACUGUAGCUUUACAUUGGACUUUGAACAGAUCUGUGUAGGAUAGGUGGGAGGCUUUGAAGCCAGGACGCUAGUUCUGGUGGAGCCAACGUUGAAAUACCACCCUGGUGUGUUUGAGGUUCUAACCUUGGCCCGUUAUCCGGGUUGGGGACAGUGUAUGGUGGGCAGUUUGACUGGGGCGGUCUCCUCCCAAAGUGUAACGGAGGAGUUCGAAGGUACGCUAGAUACGGUCGGAAAUCGUGUUGAUAGUGCAUUGGCAUAAGCGUGCUUGACUGCGAGACUGACAAGUCGAGCAGGUACGAAAGUAGGACAAAGUGAUCCGGUGGUUCUGUAUGGAAGGGCCAUCGCUCAACGGAUAAAAGGUACUCUGGGGAUAACAGGCUGAUACCGCCCAAGAGUUCAUAUCGACGGCGGUGUUUGGCACCUCGAUGUCGGCUCAUCUCAUCCUGGGGCUGUAGCCGGUCCCAAGGGUAUGGCUGUUCGCCAUUUAAAGAGGUACGUGAGCUGGGUUUAAAACGUCGUGAGACAGUUUGGUCCCUAUCUUCCGUGGGCGCUGCAAGAUUGAGAGAGCCUGCUCCUAGUACGAGAGGACCGGAGUGGACACACCUCUGGUGUAUCGGUUGUCACGCCAGUGGCAUUGCCGAGUAGCUAAGUGUGGAAGAGAUAACCGCUGAAAGCAUCUAAGCGGGAAACUCGUCUCAAGAUGAGUCUUGCCGGGGCCUUGAGCCCCCUGAAGAGUCGUUCAAGACCAGGACGUUGAUAGGUUGGGUGUGGAAGCGCAGUAAUGCGUUAAGCUAACCAAU
rnacentral:rRNA from 1 species